GACGAACCGUGCGAACGUUAUUCGGAAUCACUGGGCUUAAAGGGCGCGUAGGCGGGCGGCCGAGUCCGGGGUGAAAGCCCCCAGCUCAACUGGGGAAGUGCCUCGGAGUACCGGCCGUCUCGAGGGGGAUAGGGGCGUGCGGAACUUCCGGUGGAGCGGUGAAAUGCGUAGAUAUCGGAAGGAACACCGGUGGCGAAAGCGG
rnacentral:rRNA from 1 species